UCCAACUUAUCGCUGGCGGUCUCCUUAGAGUGCCCAACUGAAUGCUGGCAACUAAGGACAAGGGUUGCGCUCGUUGCGGGACUUAACCCAACAUCUCACGACACGAGCUGACGACAACCAUGCACCACCUGUCACUCUGUCCCCCGAAGGGGAAAGUCCUAUCUCUAGGAGUGUCAGAGGAUGUCAAGACCUGGUAAGGUUCUUCGCGUUGCUUCGAAUUAAACCACAUGCUCCACCGCUUGUGCGGGUCCCCGUCAAUUCCUUUGAGUUUUAAUCUUGCGACCGUACUCCCCAGGCGGGAUGCUUAAUGCGUUAGCUGCGCCACUGAAGAGCAAGCUCCCCAACGGCUAGCAUCCAUCGUUUACAGCGUGGACUAC
rnacentral:misc_RNA from 1 species